UUGGCAAAGGAUCCACCAGUUUUAAGCCGUUUUCUGCUUAAACGACUCUUCGUGACUUCUGAUCGGAGGGUGGUGAAAGGGGGAAGAUGAUUUAUGGAUGAAAGUGAAAGGUCGAAUUCGAGGAUUUGGAAGCGAAAGGAGAGGUCCGGCUGUCUCUUGUUGCUGUUUCAUGUGAAGGAAAAUGGAUUAUAAGAUAUAAAUACGGGAGGAAUUUGAGACGGUGGUGGGGAAAACGCUAGUAGAAUGGGAAGCUCCUGUUUCAGACGGCCGUCUAGUAGAAUAGAAUUUGGCAGGAACUUUAAAACGCACAAAUGAAUCAAUGCACGAUCAUCCGAAUACCUUUAAUGUUACUCCAAUACACCGAUUAACAUGUACAAAUUUAAACAAAAACUCAUUCACUACCAAUAUAGAAAAUAACAUGUGCUGAAGCAAAUUGGAAGUAAAAAUAAAUUCCGUCAUUAAUCUCGUGCAUUAGUCAAACGUCCACGAGAUUAUUCCCACAAUAUUACUCAUGAACAAACGUCCAAAUCGACUUGAACAACAUGCCAUGGAACACGAUUAACAUACCGAUGAUCCUCGCUUAUCGUCGUCAAGAAAUACUCGCGUUACCGAAACGGUAAGAUACGCCGUUAAAGAUAGUCGGUAUCUUACUUAAAUGGAAUUUGAAUCAAAUUUGAGGAAUCAACUACCACGUAGACCGCGAUACCAGCGUCGAUGGAAACGCGCCCGGCAUUCUCGUUAGGCACCGUCGCAACGUCAACAACGACCCGAUUCGAACAUGUCAACGACACUACUCAUCGAUGGCCGAUCCACGAGCGAAACCGAUGACCCUGCAGCUUUUCAAGUACGGCAUAUCUAAAUCGGUAUACGAAGUGAGGCGCGGUUGCAGAGGUCGAACGUUAGGCGAAUAAUUCCACGAAGUGAGAGGCGUGGGACGAUAGUAGACGAUUCUGGUUCUAUUUGCCGAGGGCUAGGAUAAUUUCGUGCGUGAAUCGAUCUUCGAUCGA
rnacentral:lncRNA from 1 species